rnacentral:rRNA from 1 species
GAUGAACGCUGGCGGCGUGCCUAAUACAUGCAAGUCGAGCGAACAGAUGAGGAGCUUGCUCCUCUGACGUUAGCGGCGGACGGGUGAAUAACACGUGGAUAACCUACCUAUAAGACUGGGAUAACUUCGGGAAACCGGAGCUAAUACCGGAUAAUAUAUUGAACCGCAUGGUUCAAUAGUGAAAGACGGUGUUGCUGUCACUUAUAGAUGGAUCCGCGCCGCAUUAGCUAGUUGGUAAGGUAACGGCUUACCAAGGCAACGAUGCGUAGCCGACCUGGGAGGGUGGUCGGCCACACUGGAACUGAGACACGGUCCAGACUCCUACGGGAGGCAGCAGUAGGGAAUCUGCCGCAAUGGGCGAAAGCUUGACGGAGCAACGCCGCGUGAGUGAUGAAGGUCUUCGGAUCGUAAAACUCUGUUAUUAGGGAAGAACAAAUGUGUAAGUAACUAUGCACGUCUUGACGGUACCUAAUCAGAAAGCCACGGCUAACUACGUG